AUUGAACGCUGGCGGCAGGCCUAACACAUGCAAGUCGAGCGGAUGAAGGGAGCUUGCUCCUGGAUUCAGCGGCGGACGGGUGAGUAAUGCCUAGGAAUCUGCCUUGUAGUGGGGGAUAACGUCCGGAAACGGGCGCUAAUACCGCAUACGUCCUGAGGGAGAAAGUGGGGGAUCUUCGGACCUCACGCUAUCAGAUGAGCCUAGGUCGGAUUAGCUAGUUGGUGGGGUAAAGGCCUACCAAGGCGACGAUCCGUAACUGGUCUGAGAGGAUGAUCAGUCACCUUGGAAGUGAGACAGGGUCCCGACUCCUGCGGGAGGCAGCAGUGGGGACUAUUGGACGAUGGGGGAGAGGCUAAUCCAGGCCUGCGGCGUGUGUGCUGAAGGUCCUCGGAUGGGAAAGCAAUUUAGGUUGUGAGGAAGGGCAGUAAGUUAAUACCUGGCUGUUUUGACGGUACCAACAGAAUAAGCUCCGGCUAACUUCGUG
rnacentral:rRNA from 1 species